GUAAUUGUAUGAAAAAAUUUCCACAGCUGAAUUGUUUCAGUUUGGAAUUUUUUUCAUACAAUCACCCGUAUCGCUACCGCAUGUACUCUUCGGUGUGGCCAAGCCUUAAUAGACAUUAGGUAUAAUUGAUUUUGUAAAAAAAGCUUGUUUAUUUCUUAGAAGGAAAAAAAAUCCGAGCCAUAGGUACAUGUAUAAAUUGAAAAAAAUUAACAAAAUUAAGUAUUCAUACAAAAUUGACUGCAUAUAUAAAAUAAAUUUUGUCCGCAAAAAAUCAUACAUCAUCCUCUGGCAAACGAGGUAGCCCGAUCAAUCUAGACAUUUUAUCAAAGUUAAUUUAAGUACAAGAUUUUUUGAUGCAGUUAGGUUCCUUUGAUGGAGGAGAAUAUGAAAUCACAGUUUUACACCAAAAUUUGAUAUGGCGUAUCCCCGAAAAUGACCCCUGACCCCUAGGUAGUACGGAAAAAGUGAUUUCACGAUUUUUUGAUGCAGUUAGGUUCCUUUGAUGGAGGAGAAUAUGAAAUCACAGUUUUACACCAAAAUUUGAUAUGGCGUGUUCCCUAAAAUUACCUCUGAACCCAAGGAAGUUCGAAAAAGUGAUUUCAGUCGAAUUUAACAGAAAUUUUAUCAAAGUUAAUGGAAGUACACGCUUUUUUGAUGCAGUUAGGUUCCUUUGAUGGAGGAGAAUAUGAAAUCACAGUUUUACACCAAAAUUUGAUAUGGCGUGUUCCCUAAAAUGACCUCUGACCCUAGGAAGUUCGAAAAAAGUGAUUUCAGUAGAAGGCUUUCAUAAGACCUGUUUCAAGAGGUUCUUGUAAGUAUGCAAUGUUUUCAUCUCUCAAGUAUGCAAUGUUUUUCAUCAAUAAGUAUGCAAAGCAUUUAUCCUGCAGAUAUGCAAUGUUUGAAACGCUUUAGAAAAAAACAUUGCAUUUUUAUGUGAGGUUUUAAUUAGCUCCCUUUUUUCCACUCAUCUUUAAUAUUCCAGUAUGGUCUACUGGUAAGGUGCUGGCUAGGUAUGCAGAGGUACGUGGGAUCGAUUCCUGGUCGGCCCAUGUGAUGAAAAUAAAAAAAUAUGUUCUUUUUCAAUUAAAAUAAUAUUCUCAUCAUUUCAGAACAACAGAAAAAGCUGUGGAAUUUCCAAAAAAAGGAAAAGAAACAAAGUAGGAAAAAAUUAAAAUAAAUAAAAUAAUAUGUAGAAAAUACAAAACAGAAAAAAUCAAAAGAAAAUUAAUGAAAUUCAAUUAAUUCUUUUUUUUAUUCAUUUUCUACAACAUUUUCUACAUCACCUACAACAACUUCUAUUAGGCCUUAUUAUAACAUCCUACGCAAGUAAUCCGGUUUGUGCAUUAGAUAAACAUUCUCUAGAAAGACCUCCGUAACUCCAUUUCAAGCUGUUUGUCAUUACCAUAGCAUUGCAUUAGGCCUACUGGGGAGACCACGUUAAAAAAAACGCACCGACAACUCUACCUCUACGGUGGUGUGGAAAGAAGUUAAAAAACUUCUUAUUUUAUGAAAAUUUAUGUUUAACAAAUUUCAAUUAUCUCAAAAACUAGAAGGCAUAGGAACAUGAUUUUCAGAGUUUUAUAAGAAAUCAAUUGAAGCAGUUUUUUAUUAUUUUUUUUUUUAUUUUGAUAUUUUUUUUUUAGAAAACUGCCCCUCUAACCUAAACGGGGGAAGAUAGAUCCCCCUCCCAUAAAAAAAUUUAUUGUAAUCAACCCCUCUACUAAAAACUAAAUUAUCAAUUCUUGGCCCUAACUUUAUAGUACUCUCCCCGUUUAAAGGGUAAAAUUGGGGUAAAAAAUUGUAAAGAAGGGAGUUUAAGAAGGGGUAUAGUUGGUGCAAUGGGGUUGCUCCCAUAGAGAGUUUUUAUGAGCAUGAUGUGAACUUUAACAUACUAAAAUUUUAUUAAAUUCGAUUGAGAUCACUUUUUCAAACUACCUAGGGGUCAGAGGUCAUUUUGUGGCACGCGCCAUAUACAAUUUUGGUGUAAAAUUGUGAAUUUAUAUUCUUCUCCAUCAAAGGAACCUAACUGCAUCAAAAAAUCGUGAAAUCACUUUUUCCGUACUACCUAGGGGUCAGGGGGUCAUUUUCGGGGAUACGCCAUAUCAAAUUUUGGUGUAAAACUGUGAUUUCAUAUUCUCCUCCAUCAAAGGAACCUAACUGCAUCAAAAAAUCUUGUACUUUAAUUAACUUUGAUAUAUAGUGAAAUUUCGUCUAGGAUGAUCGGGCUAAGGCAUAUGAAAUAAAAGGUCCAAACAAAAUUUGCCCAGCCAAGAAAAGAAAAUUGUUAUGUUGUAGAUGUUAGACAAUAAGCUGUGGAGGCGGGGUGUAAUACUGUAACGAUAAAUUACUGAAAUUCUUUUAAGAUAAACAACACACUGAACCUUUAGUAAUAAGGCCGUGUGUGAAUUGCGUUAGUGCCUGGCUACACAGUGAUUUUUCAAUCGAUUGAAAAAUCACAUGCGGUGGCUACACACUGUUGUGCCCAAUCACGUUCCACUUUUACAUUUUCUAGGAACAAAUGUCAAAAAGAGGAAAAAUUUUGCAAUGGAACUGUACUGCCCUCAGAAAAUUCAGUUCCCUUCGUGAGCAUCUUCCCCCUUCACUCCUGAUCCCUCUUGCCUACAAACUCACUUCUUAGGCGAUUGAAAAAUCACCGUGUAGCCAGGCACUUAAAUAGUUAAAUCUUGUAAAAUUUUUGACACUAUUGAGGUGAAUAAAAAAUUUUCAGCUGUCAAAACAUUAAUGGCCUCUGGGAGCCGGUUAAUCGAAGUUAAAUUUUUUUUGCACAUGGUUUUGUUAUUUUGUGCAUUGUAUAUCAAUUCAUAUACAGUUUUUCAGGAGUAUCAUGUCAGCAAAAAGGCAGAGAAUAAACAAUAAGCCGUACAAUAUACAUAUGGACCCACGAGGAAAAAAUUCGGCUCAUAAAUUUAAGGACCGAAAACAAUGAAAUGUUUACCAACAAAAAUUCAAUAAUGAGCGCUUGCUGGAAAGCCAUAGCAGAGAAAAUGGAGAGUACCAAGGAUGCCAACCAAUGUAAGCAGCAAUGGAAAAACCUUCUCAAUAGAUACAAGAUGUGGGUGUAUAUAUUUAUGUGUACCUGUUUAAUGAACUCAAUAAUUACAACAACAACUGACUUCUGAUACCUAUGAUGCGCCAGACCAUUCAUAAAUCUCGGCUGCAAAAGAAUUUGGUUAUAAAAUAGGUUUUAAUCCUGAUAAGACAAAAAGAUCCAACUUUUGUUUGUUUAUGGUUGAUUUUGUUUUGCUUUUAGAAACACGGCAUGGUUUGGAACAAAUAAAAGUUCUAUUGACGCUUUUGCUUGGUGCUGGUACAAUGUCUCAAUAAAGAAAAAUUUAUUUGUCGAAUAAAAGA